AUUGAACGCUGGCGGCAGGCCUAACACAUGCAAGUCGAACGGUAACAGGAAGAAGCUUGCUUAUUUGCUGGCGAGUGGCGGACGGGUGAGUAAUGUCUGGGAAACUGCCUGAUGGAGGGGGAUAACUACUGGAAACGGUAGCUAAUACCGCAUAACGUCGCAAGACCAAAGAGGGGGAGCUUCGGGCCUCUUGCCAUCGGAUGUGCCCAGAUGGGAUUAGCUAGUAGGUGGGGUAACGGCUCACCUAGGCGACGAUCCCUAGCUGGUCUGAGAGGAUGACCAGCCACACUGGAACUGAGACACGGUCCAGACUCCUACGGGAGGCAGCAGUGGGGAAUAUUGCACAAUGGGCGCAAGCCUGAUGCAGCCAUGCCGCGUGUACGAAGAAGGCCUUCGGGUUGUAAAGUACUUUCAGCGGGGAGGAAGGGAGUAAAGUUAAUACCUUGGCUAAUUGACGUUACCCGCAGAAGAAGCACCGGCUAACUCCGUG
rnacentral:rRNA from 1 species